AAAGAAUAAAAGCCUAUAUCUGUAUGGUUUGAACACUUGGGCAAAUACAGCUGCAGUUCAAUGAGGGAGCCAGAUGUGAACUCAGUAACGAUUUCUACCGAUUCACUGACUGAUUCGCGAGUCUUUUUUGAAUGACUUGUUAAAAAGAACCGUUUCAUAAGAGUCGUUUACUCAUGAAUCAGACAUCGAUGCUCGCGCUGUGUUCGACGCCGCUGCGCGCGGGUAGCUCGUACUUUUAAUAAAUGACUUACGAAAAACCAGUUAUGGACGCGCACAAAAUUUUCCUGACUAAAUUUUAAUAUCUUGUCGCAUUUGUGACUGAUUUAAUUGCAGUUUAGAGCACUGAUUUCCUUGACACAGAAGACACAGUCUUCUAAAGAAGCUGACAUGAUAAAAGAUGUACGCUGCCGUCAUUGCACCAUUCAUCACCUCGUGUACUUCCUGACAGCAGAUGACAGACAGAUUCCCAUGAUAUAUGGCAACAUUUCCCUGAAUAAAAAGACAGCGUGUACCCUAAAGGCUUUCUUCAUGCUGACAAGAUCCUAAAUACAGUCGACAAACCCAAGCAAUGACGCUAUGUUGUACCUGAGGUGCUUUGUUAUGGAUGACCUCACCUGAGCACAUGAAGAGAAUGAAGUCAUUGUUGAAGCCAUUAGUUGCUGCAGGGCUUCUCCACCCAGCAGAGAGGUAACAGCAGCGGUGGACUUCGGGUGGUCCCCAUGUGCGGCCUCCCCUCCGUUCCCUGACCUGGGGUUUGGGGUUUGGGAAGGAGGUGCAGAAGUGUGGUUGUCAUAGUUCAUGGUAGAGGAAACUUGAGAG